rnacentral:tRNA from 1 species
GAGUUAAUUUUUUUAAGUUUUGAAAACUUUUUUUAGGUAUUUUUAUCUUUAACU